AACCUGGUUGAUCCUGCCAGUAGUCAUAUGCUUGUCUCAAAGACUAAGCCAUGCAUGUCUAAGUAUAAAUGCUAUACAAUGAAACUGCGAAUGGCUCAUUAAAACAGUUAUAGUUUAUAUGGUAAUCAAAUUUACAUGGAUAACCGUGGUAAUUCUAGAGCUGAUACAUGCUGUUAAGCCCAACUUAUGGAAGGGCCGUAUUUAUUAGAUAACAGACCAAUAUUCUUCGUGUCUAUUGUGGUGAAUCAUAGUAACUAAUCGGAUCGUAUGGGCUAGUCCCUCGACAAACCAUUCAAGUUUCUGCCCCAUCAGCUUUCGAUGGUAGUGUAUUGGACUACCAUGGCUUUCACGGGUAACGGAGGAUUAGGGUUCGAUUCCGGAGAGGGAGCCUGAGAAACGGCUACCACAUCUAAGGAAGGCAGCAGGCGCGUA
rnacentral:rRNA from 1 species